ACUGUCAGCUGGAUCACAAAGGAGAAUUUCCCCCCGCAUAUCUGAUACUCUUUGGUCACUGAAGUUCAGCUACUUUUCCUUAUCUGGAAUCCUUCAGUGGCUAUUUAUUCCCUUCCACCUGUGACUAAAUGGACCUUUAAUCAAUUUGCAUCGUUUAGAAGCAAAGCUACUCUGGAAAGGAUGGUGUUCCUGUGCACUUAGCGCUGGUGGAGAUAUACUGCAGCCUUCCAGGGAGCCGCCGGGUUCAUAAUGGAAGGCAUGACAGGCACUUUAUGACCCUGAAGCGCUGUGAUUACAAGCUCUGAGCCUGUGUGAGGCAGGUAGGGAAGAUCCAUAUGUCAGGACAGCACAGCCAGGCCCCUCGUUGGAGCACUGCUAUCAUUUGGCUGGAAGCUGCAGAGCAGUUCCAAAGAACCAGCUCGGGACAGUAAAUGACUCCCACAGUCAAACUGAGCAUGCUCACCUCUCUGGUUGCCACACAUCGAUGUGCAGGCUGGUCCCUGGAUCCCCAACAGGUCUGACUGGUGCAGUUACCUAGCUUGCGUGGGCUGGAGUGAAUUUGGAUUUCCCAGUCUUCCAGGUGAUUAACCUGAUCUGCUGUGUUCUCCUUUUCUCCAGUUACGGCAGACUGUGAUAUGCAGAGGGAAGCAACACUUCUAGGGAAGAAUGUGGUCCAGACCACGUGGAGGUGGAAAUCACCAAGGCCUUGACUCCUCCUUCCCACUCAUUCUUCCAUGUCCUCACCUGUGAACUGGGAGAAUUCGGAACUGAAGUAAGUAAAGAUGGUGGAGUUCUUGAAGACAGCGGAAUCACUGGCCAGGAGGAACUCACUUCAGCGAUGGAGAGGACACUGAUGGAAACGGCACCCGGGCUCAGCGGCAGGCAGGAGAUGGCGAGGCAGGUCUGGAUGGAGUGGGCUUGACUGCCCACUCCCAGGGGCUCAGUCUCUGUCUCCUCACUGAUGUUUGACAUUUAUUUAAAAAUAGACAAAGCCUUCUGUUCUUCAAUCAGAGAUCAAAUUUAAAAUGCAAAUAUCCCCAGUGUUUAAAUUAACAUUAUGAUGCAAAUGCUUUGCGUCAAGUCCUUUACUUAAUGCAGGCUUUGAUAGAACAAUGAGCGGAAACACUGAAUGCAGGAAGAGAACAGAAAAGAAGUCUCCCUUUUAGGCCAACAAUGGAUUUUUUCCCUUUAUAAGCCUUGAUUACUUCUGUUUCAGAAUAAUAAUAAAUCAACAGAAUCAAAAAAGCAAUUUACACUUGUAGAUUGGGUUGUAGUCUACAAAAUAACUUCACCUCCAUUGCCUAGUUCAUUUCCCAGAACGAUGCUGUCAAGUAGACACAGUUCCCACUUGACUGGUAAAGAAAACCAGUUUCAUGGAGGCAAAGUGAGGACCUCAAGGUAUCACAGGUAGUGAAUAAUGGAAUCAGAUCUCAAAACUUGGUCAGAGGUCCAUUUAUUCAGCAAAUAAUCAUAAAGGACUGACUCUAGGCCAGACUUAUGCUAGGUGCUGGGGAUAAAAUGAUGGGUAAAACCCACACAGACUGUCCUUAUGGACCUUAGAUAUUAUUAAGGAGAUAAGUGCUAAUCAACUAAUGACAGAAAGAAAUGUAGCGUUACAGCUGUGAUGAGAGGAACGGAGGUGAUUACAAGAACUGACCCGGACAGAGCAGCCCGAGCGGAAGGGAGAGUUCUCCAGGGAGAGAGGCAGGGUGAAAGCUUCCAGGCAGAGGGAGCUCACACAAGCAAGAGCCAGCACAUGCGUUCCAGAAACUCUAAGAAGGCCAGCAUGGCAGCAGGCAGAGAGUGAGGGAGCAAAUGGUGCAGACAGUUUGGGGAGGUAGGUGGGAGCUAGAUCACGCGGGGUCUGGUUUGCAAUGACAUGGACUUCUGCUAAGCUCAUUGUCUUUCUGCCAAGAACAACUGAUGCCACUAAAAUGUUUUAAGCAGGGGGAUGAUUCUGAGAAGUAUCCAUGAUUGAAAAGCAUUGUCAUGGGCAAGGGCGUCAUAUUCCCACCCCACAAACAUGUCAAAUCCAAAUGGACAUCUACAGUGGGGAGCCACAGCCCUGCCGCUUGCCGCAGCUGUCCAAAUCUGAGGGCUCUGUACCUGACCCAAGGACACUAUCCCUUCCUUUUUCCAGCCAGUCAAACAUCUCUAGAAAGCCUGCCAUGUAAGGUUCUGUGCUGGGCACCACUACAAACAAUGGUGUCUCACACUCAGACUCUGCUCUGGGAGAGGAGCCAAGGAGACAGAGAACUCCAGAAAAAGGUGGAGAAGUAAUCACAGAAUGCCUGAGCUGGAGUCUUUCCUCAAGAUGCUAGAUACUUGGCUUCCAUUGUUUUCUGACACUUGUUACAGCAGAGACGUCAGAGACCACGCUGAUUCAUUCUUUUUACGCAAUCUCUCUUUUCACUCUUUAGACAUAGGUGAGCAUUAUUCCUGUAUCCUUGCAAUUCAAAAAUUUGACUCUGAGUCAGGUUGAUGCGGGUUCAGUGAGCUGAGGAGUCAAAGGAAAGAUUUCUUGGACUCUCAAGAUCUGGAAGUAGUGCUCCUUUAUUCAGGGAAUAGCAUGGAGUAGCAUGGAGAUAGGACCCACGGGCAGCAAAGAGCUGCAGCAUGGGGACAGGACCCAUGGGCAGUGAAGAGCUGCAAUGGGUUGAGGGUUAGAGCUAAAUUUAUAAGGCAUAGAUAUGUGAGUUAUUUCUUUACAAGACAAAGGAAAGAUCAUGAAAAAAAAUCGUUAAAAUGGUAUCAGUGCAGGUGGGGUCUGGUUGUCGGGUGGUCCUACAUCUUUGGAUACAAAUCAGGUCAGAUCAGGUCAGGAUGUCCUAUGCUUCCCAGAGGAUGAUAUAGAUCGAUAUAGGGCAGGACACCUGGGGCUUCUCCCCCUGGGGCAGCCUU
ensembl:lncRNA